UGUGUAGGCGGUUCUUUAAGUUUGGUGUGAAAUCUCCCGGCUCAACUGGGAGGGAGCGCCGAAUACUGAGGGACUAGAGUACGGGAGAGGAAAGUGGAAUUCCUGGUGUAGCGGUGAAAUGCGUAGAUAUCAGGAGGAACACCGGUGGUGUAGACGGCUUUCUGGACCGACACUGACGCUGAGACACGAAAGCGUGGGUAGCAAACAGGAUUAGAUACCCUGGUAGUCCACGCCCUAAACGAUGCAUAUUUGGUGUGGGCAGUUCAUUCUGUCCGUGCCGGAGCUAACGCGUUAAAUAUGCCGCCUGAGGAGUACAGUCGCAAGGCUGAA
rnacentral:rRNA from 1 species